rnacentral:rRNA from 1 species
GUUAGGAAUAUUGGACAAUGGGCGAAAGCCUGAUCCAGCCAUGCCGCGUGAACGAUGAAGGCCUUCGGGUUGUAAAGUUCUUUAGCCGAUGAUUAUAAUGACUGUAGUCGGAAAAUAAGCCCCGGCUAACUUCGUGCCAGCAGCCGCGGUAAUACGAAGGGGGCGAGCGUUAUUCGGAAUCACUGGGCGUAAAGCGUGCGUAGGCGGUUUUGUAAGUUAGGAGUGAAAGCCCAGGGCUCAACCUUGGAAUUGCUUGUAAAACUGCAAGGCUCGAAUGUUGGAGAGGAUAGCGGAAUUUCCAGUGUAGCAGUGAAAUGCGUAGAUAUUGGAAGGAACACCAGUGGCGUAAGCGGCUAUCUGGACGAGUAUUGACGCUGAGGCACGAAAGCGUGGGGAUCAAACAGGAUUAGAAACCCGGGUAGUCC